rnacentral:rRNA from 1 species
UACAGAGGUCUCAAGCGUUGUUCGGAUUCAUUGGGCGUAAAGGGUGCGUAGGCGGCGCGGUAAGUCGGGUGUGAAAUCUCGGGGCUUAACUCCGAAACUGCAUUCGAUACUGCCGUGCUUGAGGACUGGAGAGGAGACUGGAAUUUACGGUGUAGCGGUGAAAUGCGUAGAUAUCGUAAGGAAGACCAGUGGCGAAGGCGGGUCUCUGGGCAUUAACUGACGCUGAGGAGCGAAAGCAUGGGGAGCGAACAGG